UCUAUAUAUGUAAUUGAUAGUAUGCUCAUACUAUUAAAUAAGCUACAAGCAAAUAUUGUUAUGUUGAAAAAAGGAAUUGCGUGAAUUAAUAGUUACCAAUUAACUGAUUGGAUAUUUUGAGGUUAUUUUAAAGUAUUACUAUUUUUUUGUUUUUCUUUUUUUAAGUCUAGAUGUGAGAUGUGAAAUAUAUGGUAGAGAAUGCACAUAUGCGUGUAUCUGUGAUCCUUAAACCAAGUGAUGGAGACUACUUAUCUUUGACUAUUCCUUUUAAUGAUGAAUGAUGAUUUAUUGAUGCAGAUUUGAUGGAAAGAUGAUGCUGGAAAAUAUUGUUUGCUAAUACUGUGCCUCUAUUGAAGUGAAUUUCAGGUGUGCCACUCAUUGGGAGGUGGAACUGGUCUCGUUCUGAAUGGGAGCACUUUUGAUUUCUAAAAUCAGGGAAGAGUAUCCAGACCGCAUGAUGCUCACUUUCUCUGUGUUCCCAUCUCCUAAAGUGUCGGACACCGUUGUUGAGCCUUAUAAUGCCACUCUGUCUCAAGUUGAUGCAAAUUGAUGCACCGUUUUCCAAUCGAUAAUGCAGUUGAAAACUGUGCUAUGAGGACUACUACUAACGAGAAGGCUGAAGCAGAGAACAUCGUUUUAAAUGUCUAGCAAGUUGUGCGCAUCUGUAAUAUGUUUUUUCUUUUAAUUAAGACAUGUAGCUAAAUAAAUAAAUGUGAUGUUUUCAUUAUAUUUGGAUGAUAAUGUAUGAAUAUUUUUGGAUGUUAUAUAA